rnacentral:misc_RNA from 1 species
CUGCCCUCAAGCACGGCUUGUGUGUUGGGUGUGGUCCCCCUGGGGACCUGCCUGAAAGGCAGUGGCGACGCCCGCCUAGGUCCUCGAGCGUAUGGGGCUUUGUCACCCGCUCGGGAAGGAUCUACGGGCGUUGGUCUUCCAUAUUUUUUUCCACGG